rnacentral:rRNA from 1 species
AGGCAUAUGCUCGUCUCUAAGAUUAAGCCAUGCAUGUCUGAGUUCAUACCUAGUAAAAGUGAGACUGCGAAAGGCUCAGUACAUCAGUUAUAGUUUAUUCGAUUGUGAAAUCCACAUGGAUAACCGUGGAAAAUCUAGAGCUAAUACAUGCGAAAAAGACCCGGGUUACUUCCGUUCCCUGGGUUGUGCAUUUAUUAGAUUAGAACCAAUCAUUGUUACUCUCGGGUAACAUUGCAGUGGUGAGUCUGGAUAACUGUGCCGAUCGUAUGGCCUUGAGCCGGCGACGUUUCGAUUAAAUUUCUGCCCUAUCAACUUGUUGGUAAGGUAGUGGCCUACCAAGGUGAUAACGGGUAACGGGGAAUCAGGGUUCGAUUCCGGAGAGGGAGCCUGAGAAACGGCUACCACAUCCAAGGAAGGCAGCAGGCGCGCAAAUUACCCAAUCCAGACACUGGGAGGUGGUGACGAGAAAUACCGGGUCGUGCCCAAAAGGUUUCGACACUGGAAUGGGUGGAAUUUAAGAAUUUCCACGAGUAGCAACUGGAGGGCAAGUCUGGUGCCAGCAGCCGCGGUAAUUCCAGCUCCAGUAGUGUAUCUUAAAGUUGCUGCGGUUAAAACGCUCGUAGUUGGACAAGAGAGCGAUCAGGUGCGGGCGGGGAGUAAGCUUACUCUGUACUGAUGGGCAAUUAAGUUGAUACUAACGUAUUGAUUUAAUUGUUUUUGUUGGGCAGAUGUACUACUUGUCGACCAUGCUGCCUGGUCGCUUGUUUGAUCGUGAGAAUGUCAUAUGGCCUUAAAUGUGCUGUGUGACGUGUCUUACGUAGUGUGCCUUGAAUAAAUCAGAGUGCUCAAAGCAAGCUUACGCUUGAAUGUUAAUAGCAUGGAACGAAUGUUUUGUGAAAGCGUAAGUAGUGGGUUUACUUGUAUUCCUGCUACUUACGCAGCACCAACUCCGAAUCGGAACAUUGGUAGCCGACUUCGGGUGAUGAUUAAGAGGGACAUUUGGGGGCAUUAGUAUUUGGACGCGAGAGGUGAAAUUCUUGGACCGUCCAAGGACUAACAAGUGCGAAAGCAUUUGCCAAGUAUGUUCCCUUUAAUCAAGAACGAAAGUGAGAGGUUCGAAGACGAUCAGAUACCGUCCUAGUUCUCACCGUAAACGAUGCCAACCCGGGAUCAGCUCGGAUGACAUUAUAUGGAUCCAGGUUGGUCCCCCUGGGAAACCUUGAGUUUUUGGGUUCCGGGGGGAGUAUGGUUGCAAGGCUGAAACUUAAAGGAAUUGACGGAGGGGCACCACCAGGAGUGGAGCCUGCGGCUUAAUUUGACUCAACACGGGAAAACUCACCUGGUCCGGACAUCGAUAGGAUUGACAGACUAAUAGAUCUUUCAUGAUACGGUGGGUGGUGGUGCAUGGCCGUUCUUAGUUCGUGGAGUGAUCUGUCAGGUUUAUUCCGGUAACGAACGAGAUCACGAUCUUCAUUUAGAGACACUCAGAGUGGCUCCGUAAGUGUUGCUUGCAAUGCAGAAAGAGUCUCCUUUGAGUUAGGUGCAGAAAUGUGCUACUCUAUGGAGAGACAGCCGGACUCUAAGCCGGAGGAAGCGUGGCAAUAACAGGUCUGUGAUGCCCUUCGAUGUUCAGGGCCGCACGCGCGCUACAAUGAUAACGACAGCGAGCGUCUGGGCCGAAAGGUCCUGGGAAAUCUUGUAAAUCGUUAUCGUGAUGGGGAUUGAGCAUUGUAAUUAUUGCUCAUGAAAUAGGAAUUCCUUGUAAUAGCAACUCACUAGGUUGCAAUGAAUAAGUCUCUGCCCCUUGUACACACCGCCCGUCGCUACUACCGAGUGAAUGGUGUCAUGAUGUCUUGGGACUGGACGUUGUUGGCGAUGCAAAUCGCGGACGAUGCUAGGAGCAAGCCAAAAUGGCGCAAUUUCGAGGAAGUAAAAGU